rnacentral:miRNA from 1 species
UAAUGCUCUUCCUUGCCGAAAGA